rnacentral:misc_RNA from 1 species
GUUGGUGAACCAGCGGAGGGAUCAUUACAGAGUUCUAAAAAGACUCCCAAACCAUUGUGAACAUACCCGUCAGCGUUGCUUCGGCGGGCGUCCCCUCCCUGGGGACGCUGCCCUUCGGGGUGCCCGCCGGUGGCUUACGAAACUCUUUUGUAUUUUAGUGGCCUCUCUGAGAAAACAAACAAAUAAGUUAAAACUUUCAACAACGGAUCUCUUGGUUCUG